GAAAAAGUAUGCAAGAACUGCUAACUCAUGCACCCAUAUCUAAACAUAUGGCUUUUUCA
rnacentral:tRNA from 1 species